AUUGAACGCUGGCGGCAGGCUUAACACAUGCAAGUCGAACGAGUGGCGGACGGGUGAGUAAUGCUUGGGCAUCUAGCUUAUGUAGGGGGAUAACUACGGGAAACUGUAGCUAAUACCGCGUACCAUAGGAGGAGCCCAAGGGGGAUUAGGUAGGUGGUGAGGUAAAGGCUCACCAGGCGGACGAUCUCUAGCUGGUCUGAGAGGAUGACCAGCCACACUGGGACUGAGACACGGCCAAGACUCCUACGGGAGGCAGCAGUGGGGAAUAUUGCGAAAUGGGGGCAAGCUGAGGCAGCCAGGCCGCGUGAAUGAAGAAGGCCUUCGGGUUGUAAAGGUCUUUCGGUGGCGAGGCGUUAACUACAGAAGAAGCACCGGCUAACUCCGUGCCAGCAGCCGCGGUAAUUC
rnacentral:rRNA from 1 species